CGUCAUGUUCUGUAAUAUUGAUGCAAAUCUCCAGGUAGGUGUGGAGAUUCAGGAGGACAGGUCUUUCCAGUAACUGACCAGCAUUGCUAUGUGCAAUGAAAUGAGUCACUGGCCCAGGGGUUCAGACUUUUCUGUUGUUUCCAGGCUAGGAUGAGGAUGGGAACAAGAGGAGGGCUGAAGGACAGCAUUUUCCCAGUCCCCUACCAGCAAUGUUCCUCCUGCCGAUGAUCACAACAGCCCACCCUACUUUUUGGUACUUUAGUCUGAAGGUCCUUGUUCUCCCCACUCAUGUGCCCUUGAAAAGUUAUUUAAUUUCUGCUUUCUCCUGUCUCUCAUUUGCCUCAGUUUCCUCUCCUCUGCUGCUGCCUGUUUUGAAACUACAGCAUUUUGGUGCUUUUUACCAGAUCUGCUUGUCUUUUCAGAAAAGUUCUCUCCACCUCUCAACUUACAUUUCUUCUACUUAUUUUCCCCUCAGAUUCUGCCUUGGGAACCAGUUCUGUAAUGGCUAUGCUGCAUCAAAUGGUCACACUCAUCAGGAGAGUCACAGCCACUGCCGUCCCGGACCCACCUUUAUUUCCUCCAGUUCCCACUUCAUUUACCCCAAACAUUUCUUCAAGUUUGCCUGUUUCUGGAUUUAUGGAGAGGUGAGUAUAAAAUCAAUGACUGCAGUGAUGCUGCUGGAGGUACCAUGCACUUGUGGGUUGGUUGGCUGGUUCCAGGCAGAAGGGGUCACAUGUGAAUUCUUCAUCUUGUACCCUGAGACGUUACUAAGUGAUGAUUCUCGCGUAUCCAGCUGUCAACGUCCGUGA
rnacentral:lncRNA from 1 species